rnacentral:rRNA from 1 species
UACGUAGGGAGCAAGCGUUGUUCGGAUUUACUGGGCGUAAAGGGCGCGUAGGCGGCGCUGUAAGUCACUUGUGAAAUCUCUGAGCUUAACUCAGAACGGCCAAGUGAUACUGCAGUGCUAGAGUGCAGAAGGGGCAAUCGGAAUUCUUGGUGUAGCGGUGAAAUGCGUAGAUAUCAAGAGGAACACCUGAGGUGAAGACGGGUUGCUAGGCUGACACUGACGCUGAGGCGCGAAAGCCAGGGGAGCGAACGGG